CUGUUGGAAAAAUGGUGCUGAUAGACUU
rnacentral:piRNA from 1 species